AUUGAACGCUGGCGGCAGGCCUAACACAUGCAAGUCGAGCGGAUGAAGGGAGCUUGCUCCUGGAUUCAGCGGCGGACGGGUGAGUAAUGCCUAGGAAUCUGCCUGGUAGUGGGGAUAACGUCCGGAAACGGGCGCUAAUACCGCAUACGUCCUGAGGGAGAAAGUGGGGGAUCUUCGGACCUCACGCUAUCAGAUGAGCCUAGGUCGGAUUAGCUAGUUGGUGGGGUAAAGGCCUACCAAGGCGACGAUCCGUAACUGGUCUGAGAGGAUGAUCAGUCACACUGGAACUGAGACACGGUCCAGACUCCUACGGGAGGCAGCAGUGGGGAAUAUUGGGCAAUGGGCGAAAGCCUGAUCCAGCCAUGCCGCGUGUGUGAAGAAGGUCUUCGGAUUGUAAAGCACUUUAAGUUGGGAGGAAGGGCAGUAAGUUAAUACCUUGCUGUUUUGACGUUACCAACAGAAUAAGCACCGGCUAACUUCGUG
rnacentral:rRNA from 1 species